rnacentral:snRNA from 1 species
GUGCUCGCUUUGGCAGCACAUGCACUAAAAUUGGAAUGAUACACAGAAGAUUAGCAUGGCCCCUGUGAAAGGAUGAAGUGCAAAUUUGUGAAGCAUUCCAUAUUUUU